CGGGGAAAACACAAAUAAGACUGAACAACAAGAACGGCUCAGGUCAUGUAAGAUAUACAUCUCUAUCAGGAACACCUAUUAAUAAUCCCAUGGAAAGUGAAAUUCUGAUGAAAAAUUAGAAACGGAGAUAGAAGGACGGGACUGUUAAAACAAACGAAACGUAUUAGAUACAGCUAUUCCAAUAAUCAUGGUAAAAUUACA
rnacentral:lncRNA from 1 species